GGUUGAUAGUAAAACAUAAUCUCUCCGCAAAGAUUUAACUGAUAUGCAAUAAAAAUAGUAGUAACAGUAAAAUGAAAACAUUUUAACCCUGCUUUGGCUUAGCCAAACCCUAUAUCCACUCCUUAAGUCUCCCUUUUCCAAGUGUUUUGUUCUACCUAGCCUUCUAUGCGUGCUUGGUGCUCAGAUUUAGCAUAUAUUUCAGCUGCU
rnacentral:misc_RNA from 1 species